rnacentral:rRNA from 1 species
UUGGGUCCGGCAUAACCCCGGGAAACUGGGGANAAUUCCGGAUAACGCACAUAUGCUGGAAUGCUUUAUGCGUAAAAUGGAUUCGUCUGCCCAAGGAUGGGUCUGCGGCCUAUCAGGUAGUAGUGGGUGUAAUGUACCUACUAGCCAACAACGGGUACGGGUUGUGAGAGCAAGAGCCCGGAGAUGGAUUCUGAGACAUGAAUCCAGGCCCUACGGGGCGCAGCAGGCGCGAAAACUUUACAAUGCGGGAAACCGUGAUAAGGGGACACCGAGUGCCAGCAUCAUAUGCUGGCUGUCCAGGUGUGUAAAAUACACCUGUCAGCAAGGGCCGGGCAAGACCGGUGCCAGCCGCCGCGGUAACACCGGCGGCCCGAGUGGUGAUCGUGAUUAUUGGGUCUAAAGGGUCCGUAGCCGGUUUGGUCAGUCCUCCGGGAAAUCUGACGGCUCAACCGUUAGGCUUUCGGGGGAUACUGCCAGGCUUGGAACCGGGAGAGGUAAGAGGUACUACAGGGGUAGGAGUGAAAUCUUGUAAUCCCUGUGAGACCACCUGUGGCGAAGGCGUCUUACCAGAACGGGUUCGACGGUGAGGGACGAAAGCUGGGGGCACGAACCGGAUUAGAUACCCGGGUAGUCCCAGCCGUAAACGAUGCUCGCUAGGUGUCAGGCAUGGCGCGACCGUGUCUGGUGCCGCAGGGAAGCCGUGAAGCGAGCCACCUGGGAAGUACGGCCGCAAGGCUGAAACUUAA